UCUUUGAACUUCACGAUCACACUGCAUUUCUUAUUCCAAUACCAUUAUUGCAGAUUUUCGUUUUCUAUGCUUUUUAUCUACCAUAAAAAUCCUAACAAUGCCAGUGAAAAUCACAACCUCUCAUCUUCAAGCUAUGCCAAUGAAAAUCACAAUUUCUCAUCUUCAAGCUUCAAGUCCGAACCCUAAUUUUAAGUCCAGAUGAAACGGCGCCGGCGACGAGGGUUUCAGAUUCUGAAUCAAGCUUCCUGAUAUCUUCUUCUUUCGCCUUUGUUUAUGCUUAUUUUUGAAUCACUUUUCAAAUAAUCACUUUCCAAUACAUAGAGAAUAUAUGAAAGAUGGAAGUUGUUUAUUAUGAACAUUUGAAGUUCAUCGGCAAUGCCAUUAUAGAACUCACUAAUCAACAACCACCUUCAAUUACUUUUGAUAUUAUUUUUGAUGUUGUUUUUUCAAUAUGGUUUUGAUUUGUUUGGGAAAGUAUAUGAUGAAGUAAACUGAUGAGGUUGAGUGCUUAUUGUUUUGUCAUGUUAACCACAACUUAUAAUUUUACUUCAAACCUCAAUGAACUUUAAGUGUUUGAUGAAAUGUUUGUGUUGGGGAUGGGGUAUUAAUAUUGUUGAACUGGUGCAAUAUUGUUGAACUCUAAGUUUCUAUUGUUAAUACAAGUGCAUAUUCUUUUGGGAGUGAUUUAGGAUUUAAAUUCUAUAGAGUGUUAUAUUGAUGCAUUGAAUCACUAACAGAAACUGAAAAAGCUGAUUGUAGUAUUUUAUAACCUGUACUUAUCACAAACGUUAAGGUUUGCUAACAUGGUUAGUGAUUUCUGUAAUGACUAUUUGUUGUUAUUGUUGGUUAAUUUGAGCAGGUAUAUGCAGAGGUUGUUCCUAAAAUUUUUUGGAAUUGAUUCAGCUCUAUGAUUCCUUUGAAUAUGACAAGUAUUCAAAGUAGACACAAGGAAGCAUAAAGACUUGGAUGGUUGGAUUUUGUAAUCACGUUGAACAGGUGCUAUUAUAUUUUAGAGGUUGGAUCUGUUAAAAUUAUUCGCAAUAAGCAAAGUAAUCAAUCUGAAGGUUGUGGAUUUCUUGAGUUUACUAGCUGUUCUUGUGCUGAGAGAGUACUUCAAUCAUUCAAUAGCACCAUUAUGCCAAAUGGUGGGCAAAACUUAAGUUUGAACUCGACAACUUUUAGUUCUGGUGAGAAGCAUCAUGACGAUUCUUCUGAUUACACCAUUUUUGUUGGACACUUGGCUACUGAUGUUAUUGGUUGGUCUGCAGAAUCACCGGAAGACUAAUGACUUGAAGAAGUUAGACAAGUUAAAAGCAAGAAGUAAAUAGGGAAGGUGAUGAUUUUGUAUUCCAGAAUUUGUAUCCUUUAAUCAUGUCUACGAAGGUUAGGAUCUCAAAAAGAAGGAAAAUAGCUUCUGUUCAACCGUGAUUCUAAAGCAUUCAGGACUUGAUGCAGAGAUUAGUGAAUUAGAGAGGAAAAUAGCAAAUGAUGUUGAUAGCGAGAGUCUUACUGAUGAGCUUCAUCGUUCUUUUAGUGAAUCAUUUGAAGAGUCGCUUUUUGUUGUCAAAUUUGCUUUUAUAGAAGCAGAAAUUGUUUUUGCCUUGCUUUUGCCUUAAACACAGUUGUAUAUCAUAAGUUUAUUCUUAGAAGAAAAAAAGUUACAUUUGAUAUGAAUCUAAUGAGAAAGUGUGCAAAAAUAUAAUUCAGUUUGACGAAAUGUCCUUUUUCUGUUGUCGUCUCCCGAUGGUUUGCGUUUAGUUUCUCAUUUUAUUUUUUAUAUUCGAUGUGUUAUCCUUGGUCAAAGUGUUAAUUUUUUAUUUUUACUUUUGAACUCUUCGU